rnacentral:rRNA from 1 species
UUGGGGGAGAAAAAAAAAAAGUAACAAGGUUUCCGUAGGUGAACCUGCGGAAGGAUCAUUACCUAGAGUUGUAGGCUUUGCCUGCUAUCUCUUACCCAUGUCUUUUGAGUACUUACGUUUCCUCGGCGGGUCCGCCCGCCGAUUGGACAAUUUAAACCAUUUGCAGUUGCAAUCAGCGUCUGAAAAACUUUAAUAGUUACAACUUUCAACAACGGAUCUCUUGGUUCUGGCAUCGAUGAAGAACGCAGCGAAAUGCGAUAAGUAGUGUGAAUUGCAGAAUUCAGUGAAUCAUCGAAUCUUUGAACGCACAUUGCGCCCCUUGGUAUUCCAUGGGGCAUGCCUGUUCGAGCGUCAUUUGUACCUUCAAGCUUUGCUUGGUGUUGGGUGUUUGUCUCGCCUCUGCGUGUAGACUCGCCUUAAAACAAUUGGCAGCCGGCGUAUUGAUUUCGGAGCGCAGUACAUCUCGCGCUUUGCACUCAUAACGACGACGUCCAAAAGUACAUUUUUACACUCUGACCUCGGAUCAGUAGCUUCCCGC